UUUGAUAGUGAUAUAUGUGUGAUUACGUUUAAUUAAUUUAAUUUUUUUAAAUUACUAUCAUCGUUGACGUGUCGAUAUCGUGUAUGAUGUUGAUGUCGUGUACAAUGUUGAAGGCGCACAUGCAACUGAAGCUCUUGUUGGUUUUAUAAACAUGAAAGGAGGUAUUUAUUUGAAUGUAUAAAGGCUUCUUGUAUAUUUUUUCAAGAAUAUUUAGCAUAAGGUCGUU
rnacentral:lncRNA from 1 species